GCAAGUGUGGUUUAGUGGUGUUACUACUUGACCAACAAGCGAAUGGCCAGGGUUUGAAUCCCUGUGGAUGCA